UCUUAAAAGUAUUUUUGAGCCAGGCAGACUCACCUUGUUUCCAGUGUGAGAAUCCCAGAUGAGAAGUUUGCCGUCCUGUGAUGCACUGACCAUUAGCCUAAAGACACCGAGGAAAGAAAGAGAAAGAAAGGCUGGUUCCCCCAACAGACUGGACGAAACUUACCUGUGGAAAAACUCUCUCUUUCUCUUCCCUGUCUGCGAGAGAGGAACAGAUGAGGAUUGGAGGGGAUGAAGGAGAUCAGGGAUGAAAGGAUAAGCCCAAAGAUGGUCGCAGAGAGAAGGAGAGAGAGAAAGGGGAGGGCGAGGAACAGGUAAACCGAUUGGAAUGGAAAAUCAGGUUAUGGGGUCGAAAGACAAGGCAAGAGUGAGCGCACACAGCAGAGGACAGAGGAAGUGAUGGAUAGUGUGUGGCAUGAACAAAAAUAUGGUUGAUUCCUGAAGAACAGCUUGUGGGGUUCUCAGCAUUGGUUCUAACAACCACUUUGGGGUAAUAUGGGCAUUUAAAGCAUUUCAUACUUGUUUAAUCAUAUAGUUUGAUGUUAACACUUGAUGGGUCAUUGGUGUGGUUUGGUGAAUGUUGAUAGGAGGGGGGCUGAAGGGUUUGAAUUGGUUUGUCGGAGCUAAUGAGUUGAGCUCGUCUAAUCAGGUUCUAAAUGGAUAUCCGGGGAAUCGGCAAUCGCGUUAAGGAAUUAGAGCAGGUGAAUCCGUGGAGCAGACGUCACGGUGACACAAAGAGCAAUGGAGGAAGGAAAGUGAGGAAAGUUACGACAAUAAGUGAUAUUUUGGUUUUAAAUUCUAUCUUGUAUGAAAUCUUGCAUUUCCAUACUUUAAGGAGAGUCAAAUGCAAAAGAAGAGUAGCAAAGAAUUAUGACAAUGGUCUUUGUGAAGUUUUAUUCUUAGUUCAAUAGCACCAAUUAAGCUACAUCAUACAGGAAACAAGAAUAAAAUGUAUUUUUAGCUAUGGAAAUUGUGUAAAAAAUGAGCAUUAAAGUAUAGUACUGACACAAGUCCAGUAAGUUUUAAACGUAUGAUAUACUGAAUUGCAGUUUGCAUUUGCAACAGAUAUUGACAAUAAACCAUUUCCCGGACCAUU